AGCGAACGCUGGCGGCAGGCUUAACACAUGCAAGUCGAGCGGGCACUUUCGGGUGUCAGCGGCGGACGGGUGAGUAACGCGUGGGAACGCGCCCUCUGGUUCGGAAUAACUCAGGGAAACUUGAGCUAAUACCGGAUACGCCCUUUUGGGGAAAGGCUUGCUGCCGGAGGAUCGGCCCGCGUCUGAUUAGCUAGUUGGUGAGGUAACGGCUCACCAAGGCGACGAUCAGUAGCUGGUCUGAGAGGAUGAUCAGCCACACUGGGACUGAGACACGGCCCAGACUCCUACGGGAGGCAGCAGUGGGGAAUAUUGGACAAUGGGCGCAAGCCUGAUCCAGCCAUGCCGCGUGAGUGAUGAAGGCCUUAGGGUUGUAAAGCUCUUUUAUCCGGGACGAUAAUGACGGUACCGGAGGAAUAAGCCCCGGCUAACUUCGUG
rnacentral:rRNA from 1 species